rnacentral:rRNA from 1 species
UAGCGGCGGACGGGUGAGUAACACGUGAGUAACCUGCCUUAGACAUUGGGAUAGCCUCGGGAAACCGGGAUUAAUACCAAAUAAAAUCAUAAUGACACAUGUCAUAACGAUCAAAACUCCGGUGGUCUAAGAUGGACUCGCGUCCCAUUAGCUAGUUGGUAGAGUAAAAGCCUACCAAGGCGACGAUGGGUAGCCGGCCUGAGAGGGUGAACGGCCACAUUGGAACUGAGAAACGGUCCAAACUCCUACGGGAGGCAGCAGUGGGGAAUAUCGCACAAUGGAGGGAACUCUGAUGCAGCGACGCCGCGUGAACGAAGAAGGCUUUCGAGUCGUAAAGUUCUUUUAUAUGGGAAGAUAAUGACGGUACCAUAAGAAAAAGCCCCGGCUAACUACGUGCCAGCAGCCGCGGUAAUACGUAGGGGGCCAGCGUUGUCCGGAAUCACUGGGCGUAAAGGGUUCGCAGGCGGAAAUGCAAGUCAGAUGUAAAAGGCAGUAGCUUAACUACUGUAAGCAUUUGAAACUGCAUAUCUUGAGAAGAGUAGAGGUAAGUGGAAUUUUUAGUGUAGCGGUGAAAUGCGUAGAUAUUAAAAAGAAUACCGGUGGCGAAGGCGACUUACUGGGCUCAUUCUGACGCUGA